ACCACCUCGUGCUGCUCGCCGUCGUCACCGUCACCUUCGUCGUCUGCUCGCUGCCCUUCACGUUGCGCGUUUACAUGAACAAUUUUACCCGGUCCGAAAACUACCAAGAGGAUCUCCGGGCACUGAGGUUUCUAUCCAUGAAUUCAAUCAUUGACCCCUGGAUCUUUGCCAUCCUGAGGCCGCCGGUGCUGAGGCUGAUACAUUCUGUGCUGUGCUGUGAGAUGUCCUCGAAGACCAAAGAGGAAGCCCCGACGCUGGCCAUUGAACAGGGUGAACUCAAUAAGCAGACGGACCUUUGUGGUCAGUAGCUAGAUUUGGCAGAAGACAUCUGGAAGACCAGGGCUCCUCAGGGUAAAAGCAUGCACUGAGCAGUGCUUUCAGGUUGGCGAACGACUACGUCUACUGUCCAACGGACCAAGCUGCAGCUGGGCCGACGGGACUCUGUAGCACCCAUUGGAAAGCCUGUGAGAAGUCCGCGUGAGGCGAGCACAUGAUGCAGCACAUCAGAAACCCCCUUUCGGGACUGUGUCUGAGAAGCUGACAGUAACUGGAUUUGCCUCCACUCGCUCAGAUACUGUGCACUCAGCAUAGGAUGCACGGCUGUCUAGCGUGUUUGAAACUGUUCCUGGGAAGCCCAGGUGACACUGUUGCCUCAUGAGACAACUCAGCAGAGGGGGAUGGAGACACCAAGUGUAGCUGCAGGACAGUGGCUGUAUCACCAAAGCCACUGAGGCCACAGCUUGCGGUAGCUUAACACACGGUGUAUCCAACUACUGAAACCGAGCUCCUUUCCCCCUGCUGCUACGCCUGCCUCUCAGUCCAUCCUCCCUCUCACCUCACCUUAGGCCUGAGCUUCCUGCCUCUCUCCCAGCUGGACUUGUAGCCUUCACUACAGGGCGGAGGCAGCAAGGGGCUGGUGGUGCCUCAAGCUCACAGACCAUGUGCCAGGCAGGGGGACACACGGGGUCCCGGCAGCCUGUGAGUGCAGGAGGAGCUCGGUGCUUGUGCAGGGGGGGCUUUCUCUGCUCUCCUGAGGGGCUCCACCACCUUUGUAUCCCUGGGCUAGGUCCACAAACAGGCUGCAGGACUUUGUAUGUGCUGGUUCCUGGAGGGAACAGGCCUCCACUGUGGUGCAGGGGGAGAGUUAGACCCUUACAGUAGCAUCUGAAGCAGCCAGUAUGUGGAGCAGGAUGCUGGCGCACAGCCCCAGAGCGAGCCACGGCUCAGUACCCGCCAUGAGCUGGUCCUUACCUCACACACUCAGACCUGCAAAGUUUCUCCUGAGCUGGGGACCCAGGCCAUCAGGCGGUCAUGUCAGGCAUUGCUUGCUGCCUCAUCUAGCCUCGCUCGGCAUUGGCCCAUGAACCGGAGCCAUCCCAACAGCAUUCUGGUGUGUACAGAAAGGUCCUUUCCAUCUCAGGUUUGUCUUUCUGGCCGAAUGCUGGAUACUUCUCGCCUCCCCUCUGCCUGAUUGUGUGCCUGCCCUAAGCUUCCCUCUGCUAGCACAGGACCCAGGCUUGCUCUGUGCUGGUGCUGGGUCACCCAUACACGUCAAUGCCUGCCUGCAGGAGGCUAGACCCUGUGCAAAGAAUGGCUAAAUAGCGAAGGCAACACUUCCUUGCCCAAGUCCUGAGCCUGAAUGUGAACCCAUAAGCAAAGAUCCAGGCCAACAGUCGCACAAGCUGAAAGAGCAGCUCUAGGAGCAGGUGCCCGUACUCCAUGGACCCAGCCACUGGCAGCUGACUUCAUACACACACUGAUAUAACUUCUCCCAUGGGCUUUCCAGGCUGGAGACGUGGCUUGGUCUCGUACUGCGUUCUCACCAGUCUGCUGGCGAUACAGCAGGGUGUCCCCUGGGAGCACGGGAUGGGAAGGGACUUCUGGAGCUGAUGCCUGAUGUGGCAGGCAGCUGUGUGGGUCUGUAAGAGCCUCCACUCCAGCCCCUCUCACACCCCAGGGUCUCCGAGCCCUUGAUAACAGGAGGGCAACCCCCCAGUGUUCAGGGGGAGGGCAGGAGAGUAGUCCUACAAAAGCCUUGGCCAUUGCAAUGGCAGGGAAGGUGCUAAGUAGACUUGGCUCUGAUGACCCUGAGAAGCAUAAAACACCCUAUGCCAGGGGACAGGAAAAGCCCCCACCAGUCUCUGCUGGUCUGACCUGCAGGGAAUUACCUCCUGACCCAGAGCACAAGAGCAAGCCCCACCACCCAGGGGACUAGCUUGUACCUCAGAUACUCGGCUUGUGAUAAAGGGCAUGGAGGAACCAGGCAGCAGAGGGAAGACAGCCCUGCAUGUGUCUUCCUUUUUACUCCCCACACUGCCUUGCUGCAGCUGAUCAGGUCUGGCAGGAGAGCAGAGGCCCUUGCAGCCCCUCUGCUUCCCUGGGCUCACAGGCUGACCCUUCAGUGUAAAGAACAGGUAAAAAGUGGCCCUAAAGGCUACGAAAGGCAGGUGCCUUCCCUCUCUUUUGAGUUUCAGGCUUCUUGUAAGCCAAGGCAAUCCCUAUCUGUUAUGGGGGGCUGGGGGCAGUGUUAGGGCGGGUGACUUGUUGCUCGUGGAACCACCAAUGCUGCAUGGUUGCACAACCAUUAGUGUGAGGCAGCUCCUUGCUCCUAUUCUGGGACCUGAAUGAAGGUACUGGAGCACCUGGCUCGUACAGCACUUAUCUGGCCGGCUGUUCUGCAUUUGCACAUUAGGAACAGCUUUGAAGAGUUAAUGGAGACAUGCCUGAGCUUGGUCCUGGUGCAGAGCCAGCCCAGCCCGUGCUCGGUGAAGCUACCAGGGCAGAACUGGCCCCAUAGCUGCUUGCCUUGCACAGGCCAAGUGGCUGCUGAUGAAUAGAGAAUGGCUGGACGCAGUCCACUCCAGCAGCCGGCACACAAGCUAGAGUCCCAGCUCUGUGGCAAUGACACCAGCUGCUUAGGCGUGCCACUCUGCAAGGCACAGGGCUGCCCCUGGGGCAUGAGGCCACGUCAGGACGGCCUGAUGCACAAAAGGCCCCUUCAUGCUCACCCUGCAUUGCUAACACUGCUUGGCCUCAUGACCGAUAGCAGGACACAUCAGUGGCAUGGACUGGAGCAUGCCCUGUCAUGGCACGCCACCCCCUUCUCACCCCCACAACCCCUUCACUGCGCACAUCGUGGCUUGCCCAUGCCCCCCUCAUUGCUUGCCUCUUCCCCCUCUCCUUGGGCAUCUGAACAUCCCAGGGCUGGAGAGCCUGAAGGUUACAUUGAACAGUCAGCUCAUCUCAGCCUUUGCCCAGGAGGGCUAUGACCCUCUAGCCUAGUCUGCUUUCAGUCCAUUCACCCUGGCCCCACUGAGCUUGAGGCAGGCAGAGCUGUAUGGACAUCACUGCCCGGACAAACUGCAGGCUGUCUGCAUGGAAAAUGGGCUGGCCGCUUGCUGCCGCAGAGCACAAGGCUUAGUCAAUAGGAAAUGAAAUGCAGCACUUUCCUUUGCUGACAACUUAUUUUCAUAUUGCAACAUGAGUUGGGAUGCUCAAGGGUGUUGUUUUUCUAGGGAGAUUUUUAUUUAAAUACUUAAAAACUGUACAUUCAGGCUGUCAGAUAUGCACUGUCGGAUAUGUUUAUUCUUGCCAGUGCUGGUUUGUUUCUCAGGACAUAGUACUCUCUUCCUCGUGAUUUCAGGCCAAACGCUGCAUUACGUCCACACACUAUGCAUUCCCCAUUGAAGGCCAGAGAGCAAAUCCAUCGCUGGUGUAAGAGGCUACAACUCCACCAGUUCAACUGAGAAUUGCCUCAUUUCAUCUCCCCCUCUUCCCUUCCCUGCUGUGUGAUUCUUAUUUGAGCCUCUGAAGCUGCUUUUGCCAGAGAUGAAUUUGCUAACGGGAUUGCUGAUGUCAGACAUCUCCGGAGAGCAUGUUGCUCCACUUCCUAACGAAUCUGAAAGCAAUGCAGUGUUUUAUUUCAUUGCUACUUGAUCUUUGUGAUGGGUAUUUAAGGGCUCAAUUGCUGCCUGAAAAUAACCAGGCAAAGUCCCGAGCUUUUCCUGUUCCUGUGAUUGAUGCAUAGUAAUAAAAGUCAUCUUUCAAACAAA